GACGAACGCUGGCGGCGUGCCUAAUACAUGCAAGUUGAGCGAUGAAGAUUGGUGCUUGCACCAAUUUGAAGAGCAGCGAACGGGUGAGUAACGCGUGGGGAAUCUGCCUUUGAGCGGGGGACAACAUUUGGAAACGAAUGCUAAUACCGCAUAACAACUUUAAACAUAAGUUUUAAGUUUGAAAGAUGCAAUUGCAUCACUCAAAGAUGAUCCCGCGUUGUAUUAGCUAGUUGGUGAGGUAAAGGCUCACCAAGGCGAUGAUACAUAGCCGACCUGAGAGGGUGAUCGGCCACCUUGGGACUGGGACACGGCCCAAACUCCUACGGGAGGCAGCAGUAGGGAAUCUUCGGCAAUGGACGAAAGUCUGACCGAGCAACGCCGCGUGAGUGAAGAAGGUUUUCGGAUCGUAAAACUCUGUUGGUAGAGAAGAACGUUGGUGAGAGUGGAAAGCUCAUCAAGUGACGGUAACUACCCAGAAAGGGACGGCUAACUACGUG
rnacentral:rRNA from 1 species